GGAACGAGACUCAAGAUUUGCUAAAGCUCAGCCUUACGGGUUUCGCAUUGUAAUAUUGUAGAGGAUGCUUUGGGGAAGUCGCCUGUCUAAGUUCCUUGUGUAACAGGACGUCAUAGAGGGUGAGAAUCCCGUCAUGUGACAGGAAAUGACACCCUAUGUAAAGCUCCUUCGACGAGUCGAGUUGUUUGGGAAUGCAGCUCUACAAUGGGAGGUAAAUUUCUUCUAAAGCUAAAUACCGGCGAGAGACCGAUAGCGCACAAGUAGAGUGAUCGAAAGAUGAAAAGCACUUUGGAAAGAGAGUUAAAAAGCACGUGAAAUUGUUGAACAGGGAAGCGCUUGCAAUCAGACUUGUCUUUAACCGUUCGGCCGGUCUUCUGACCGGUUUACUCGGUAAUCGACAGGCCAGCAUCAGUUUCGGCGGUCGGAUAAAGGCCUUGGGAAUGUGGCUCUGCCUUCGGGGAGAGUGUUAUAGCCCAGGGUGUAAUACGGCCAGCCGGGACUGAGGUCCGCGAUUCGUCUAGGAUGCUGGCGUAAUAGGUUGUAAGCGACCCGUCUU
rnacentral:rRNA from 1 species